CUUGGGGAUGGCCGCUCAUGUCUCUUCUGGUCAGACCACUGGGUCUUCGGCUGAAGCAUCGCCGACAUAUCCCCUCUCUUUUACGCGAUGGUUCCUCAACGGCGGUGCAAAACUCGCACAGUUUAGGAGGGCUUGCACCUUCGUUCUUGGGUUCAAGAUAUCCAGGGCGCCCUAGGCCCCACAGCCAUGGUGCAAUACGUGGACCUAUGGCGCUUGCUGCAGCACGCCACACUCUUGGAAUCCCCGGACAUGCUUGUUUGGUGCUGGAUGGACUCUGGUGCUUACUCUGCCGCCUCUUGCUACGUUUACCUAUUUAUUGGAUUGCUGCCUGACCCUCACGGUGAAGGAAAUAUGCCCUAG
rnacentral:rRNA from 1 species